GGGAUUCUGCUCCGGUUCGCUCACUUUCUGCGCCCGUCGGAGGCCGGUGGCAGCACAACACCGCGUCCUGGCCAAAGGACAAGUGGGUCUGGAGGGACUGGACGGAAAUGCACCCCAGCCCCGGAGACCCAGGUUAAAAGAUACUUUAUCUGUAAUCAUCACGCCUAAAAUGAAUGACCCAACUCCAGCUUUCCCCUAGCCAGAGACGGCAAAAGGAGGUAUUUGGAAGUCUUGACAUGAAAACAGGUUAAACACUGAAGCUGUUUCUAUGAAAAAUAAAGAAAUGCACAACGCAAACGUCUGCCUAGCCUCCGUCAGGGGCAUUCGCUUUACUUUUUCCAACACUAAUCCGUAACACGACGGAAUGCAGCUGCAGACCCAAUGAGACCGGCCCUCGGCUAGCCGCGACAGAUUAAGCGUCUCCUGGGCCCGGAGCUGACACGCGGCGCCUGGUCGACGAAGCUCAGCGACAGGUUCCACGGGGAACCCGCCGUCCAAACUGAGAACGCAAAGCAACUAAGCGACGGCUCCGUAUCCGCGGGGCAUCCCGGGGCACGGAAUCCCGGCGGGCCGCGGGGGAAAGGGCCGUUAGGGGGUCGCCCGGGCGGAGGCCAGACAGCGGCCCGGGCCCCUCCCAGCGCUCGGACAGCGGCCUCCACGCCCCGCGCCCCCGCAGACCCAGCGCGGGCCCCAGCGCCUCCAAACCCCGAACCGCCGCGCGACCCCGCCUCGGCCGCGGGCAGCGCGCCCGCACCUCCACGUCGAUGUCCAGGAAGCCGCCCUCGGCCACCUCGAAGAUGAGGCCCAUCUUGGUGCCCGAGGUGACCCGCUCGAAGAAGCACUCCUCGGCAUGCGCGUCGAUGCUGACGAAGUAGCCCGAAGCCGUGGCCAGAAGAGCGGCCAGGAGCACCAGCAGCUCGGCGAGCGUCACCAUGGUGGGGCUGGGGCCGAAGCCAGGACCGGGACCGCGGCCUCCAGAGCCGCCGCCGCCGCCGCCGCCACCGCUGCCUCCUCAGCCGCCGCCGCCUCUGCUCCGCCCCUUCCGGCUGCGCCACCCGAGGGGGCUGAUGCGGGCGCCGUGGAUUGGCGGGCGCCGGCAGCUGCCACGUAACGGACGCACGGCGGCCGCGAAGGGACAAGGCGGCUCCGCGCACCCCGAGCCUGGAUGGUGGCUCUGAAAGGCCAAACAUCGUUGUCCCCACCAUCAUCCCUUUCGCGCGCAGGCUAAGUUUCACGUGGACCACACCAGAAAGCGACAGUAUCAGGAAACCUCCCGCGCCCGGUGCGACGCCCUAAGAUUGUCUAAAGAGAUGGCGAAAACUUUGGAGGCAGCAACAGAAGGAUUAUUUCUUGAAAGACCAUCAGGCAAUAGGGGGCAGUAGUGGCCCAAUAUCCAGUUUCCCCGCUUCAGGUGUCAAAAAACAGGUGCAGGGCUUCCUUGACUGAACUCAAGAGCUCUAGUGAUGUCCCCUGACUCCCCGCUCUCCGGACUGUGUCAAAGGCCCUGCUUGUGCUGGCAGGUCAGUUCUGUUGUGUUAUUCUGGGAGCCCAGAGCCUGUUCCCUCCAGCCUCAUUAACCCACUUAUAUGCCUCUCUUUCUCUGUAUUGAAGUUCUUCCUGCUUAUAAUACCUACAGUAGCUUCCUAUUAAAAUGAAUUAAACUGGGGCGCCUGGGUGUCUCAGUCGGUUAAGCAACCGACUUCGACUCAGGCCAUGAUCUCUCUGUUCCUGAGUUCGAGCCCCGUGUCAGGCUCUGUGCUGACAGCUCAGAGCCUAGAGCCCGUUUCAGAUUCUGCGUCUCCCUCUCUCUCUGCCCCUCCACCCCCCACACUGUAUCUCUCUCUCCAAAAAAAAUGAACAUUAAAAUUUUUUUAAUGAAUUAAACUGAAACAGGUUUUUUGACUUCCCAAGCAACCGAACUGUAUAGAAAAGUGCCAAGAACAAUUCUGUUUUUAUCUAGAAAUUAAAUACAUUAAUUUUCACUUGCAAACUGAUGAAAUAUUCUAAUUCCACUUACCAGGGACUUAAAAUGUGGACAUUUAUCAUCUUGGUGGACCACCCUGAAUUAUAUAUUGUUGGAUUUUAUAAAGUAAAUCAGGGGACCCAAAUUCAAAUGCCUUCAGGGAUCAGGCAGUUUAUAUGAAUGAGUGAAGGCACCCCAGCUUAAGGCAAUAGGGAGUAGGGAGGAGUGUGGCAAAUUGGAGCAUAGAUGCUGUACCUAAAUACACUUGGCUCCAGUGUUUGAAGACACAGUGGUGGCCAAACCAAAAAUGCAGCCAGAAGUCAUCUGUGAAUUUAUUUUUUUAUAUUAGAAAUGUAAUUAACUGUGCUAUCUAAAAAUCAGAAAAGAGACAAAAGUAACUCCAAACACAGUACCAUAAACUAAUCACUUAUCAACUACUUGGCAUAGUUCCUUCUUUAUAGAGGGUUUUCUUUUCAGUGGCAUAGCCAUAAAUUAGUCAUCAAGUGUCUUUUGACAUUACUUCAGGAUCUGAAGACAGGCUCUCAGGACUUGCCAGACCCACCCACUGUAAAUGUACACUUUUAUGGUCCUCAGCACAGACUGGCAGGUGCUCGCGUGCCAUGGUGUAUGUGAACGCAUUCAACACAACAAACAGAUGGCUCAUAGCCGGCACUUAGUAAUAUAUGAUGAAUGACGAAUGAAUCUCUCAACUCAGGUCUGGCCCAGAACCUACCAGGGGGUUAUCAGUAAUCAGUGAGGUGCAACAAAAAAUGGGUCCUGUCCUCCCUCCCUCCCUUCCUUCCUUCCUUCCUUCCUUCCUUCCUUCCUUCCUUCCUCCUUCCCCCCUUCUUUCCAGCUUUACUAAGGAAUAGAAAUAUAAUUCAUGCCAUGAAAUCACUCUCUUUUUUUCCACAUAGAAGCUCUUAGUUUAUUAACCCUCACAUGAAAAAUCUGCACAAUCACCACAGACAAAAUCAAUGCAGAAUCUUUACUCCUUUUUUUUUUUAAUUUUUUAAUGUGUAUUUUUGAGAAAGAGCAAGCGAGUGAGCAUGAUCGGGGGAGGAGCAGAGAGAGAGAUAGAAACCCAGAAUCCGAAGCAGGCUCCAGGCUCCAAGCUGUCAGCACAGAGCCUGACAUGGGGAUCGAACCCAUGAGCCAUGAACCAAGCGAUCACGACCUGUGCGGAAGUCAGACGCUCAACCGACUGAGCCACCCAGGUGUCCCGUAAUCUUUACUCCUUCUGUUGUCCAAUCUCCAGCCCGCUGUUCACCAGCACCAGCAUUAGCUUUUGCAGCGCCCCUGACUUUCUUCAUUCCGUUCUUGCAUUCUUUUCGCCGUUUUCUUGAAGUCUUUUUGUUCUCCAACAGGCCAGGUCUUGCAAGUCUAUGUUUGGGUUCAUGUAUCUUUACACACCCUAAGGAAUCAUAAAUCAUGCCAAAGCCAGUUGUCUUGCCACUGAUGAGGGACAGGAGCAGAAAAAUGUUCACCUUUAGCCCAGAAGGGUGACCUAUAUAGCCUGCACGGUUUUGAUAAGCAUCAGGUAAGAGCUGCUUGCUACAUACUUAAAGGGUCUCAUGACUGCCUGUGCAUCUCAUUGAUAGUUCAUACCGAGCUGAAUGAUAAGCACCAGAGAAAUCUUACAAAAGUAGUUUUACGAGUAGACGUUCAAAGAAGACAUUUGUGACCUACUACUCCCUGCACGUCCCCUCCCCCUUCAGCACUAAGCAUAUAACCACCAGCUUCAUACAGCCAGAGUGCAGAUUUCUCUGCCCAAGGGUCCUGUCGCUGUGCUGCUUAAAUAAACUUACUAAGUUGCCCCGGAACACAUCUCAAUAAUUCUCUCUUGACUGCCUCUCUCAAUGAUCCUGCAACAACACUACCAAAAUUCGUUCUGAAUCCAAAUACGAAGAUGACAGCUGUUGUGGUCUUGUACAUUUUGGCUAGUUUUUCUUGAAUUUCUUAGAUACUGUUGCUUUCCAGGGUGUAGAACAUCGAUGACCAUUUGUUUCCAUAAAGUAGUCAGUCAGUCAUGAACUUUCCGGUCCGGAUAGUUAUUGUGUCGUUCACGGUGGUGGCUGAGCUCCAAGCAGCCAGGGGGGAAAAAGAGCAAAAUCACCUUUUUUUUUUUUUUUUUAAUGUUUAUUUAUUUUUGAGAGAGACAGAGACAGAGUGCGAAUGGGGGAGGGACAGAGAGAGGGAGACACAGAAUCCGAAGCAGGCUCCAGGCUCUGAGCUGUCAGCACAGAACCCCACACGGGGCUCGAACUCACGAACCGUGGGAACAUGACCUGAGCCAAAGUCGGACGCUCAACCAACUGAACCACCCAGGUGCCCCGUGAAAUCACCCUUUUAAUGUGUACGGUCCAGUGGUUGUUAGCGUAUUCAGAGUCGUUCACUUAUCACCUCUGUCCAAUUCCAAAACAUUUCAUCACCCCUAAAAGAAACCUUGUACCCAUUAGCUGUCACUCCCCAUUUCCCAUUUCCCCCAGCCCUCCUGGCAACCACUCAUCUAUUUUCUGUCUCUAUGGAUGUGAGAUGAAAUCGUACAAUCCAUGGCCUUUUGUGGCCAGCUUCUCUUACUUAGCACCAUGUUUUCGAGUUUCUUCCAUGUGGUACUUCAUUCCUUUCUGUGGCUGAAUAAUACUGCACUGUGUAGACGGACCACACGUUGUUUGCCAUUUGAUGGACAUUUUUGAGUUUCCACUUUUUGACUAUUGGGAAUAAUGCUGCUAUGAAUGUUCACACACGCAUUUGUGUAUGGACAUACGUUUUCAAUUCUCUGGGGUAUAUACCUAGAACAGACAAAAUAAAUCCUUUCUGCUUGGAAUCAGAAGCUUGUUGAGCGAGGGACUAGGAAACCAGAUUAGAAAUUGAACAGUUGCGCCCAUCAGUUCUCAAAAGCUGGCAAGUUCUAAACAGAAUAACAAAAGGCUGUUUCCACAGAAAGGCUAGCUCAGCUUUCUGCUGUCUGGGUAUGAACACUCCCUUUCCCUUCUGGUCCCACGGAAGUCUGUUUUAUAAUUAGGGAAGAGUAAAGGAGACUAAGGGAUUUUCUUUCAUCAGUAUUUUUUUUUUUCAUUUUCAGUUUUAAAAUGUCACUUUGUUGGGAACAAUUUUCAUAGAGUGAUCAGAAGUGAAGAUAAACAUAACCACGAUAUCACCACUUAAUCAGAUCAGUCCUUGCGGGAGGGCGGGGGAGGGGGCUCCGUGUUAGGCUUCUGCCCAUUUGAUCUCAGACCCAGGCAGCCCUCUCCGCCCACCCCCGAAUCACGGGGAACUACAUCUCCCAGGCUCCCUUGCACUCCGCUUCCUGGUAGGUUGGGCCAGUUGCAGACCCUGACAGAAGGUCAGAAAGUGGAGAAAGGAAGAGGCCGCAGCAUCUGUCUCCCUCCGCUUUGGGAAGCAUCUCCGCUGUAUCCAGCCCCUCGGAAGUUCCCGUUUUCGCUGGGUGGUCCUGGAUCCUGGACUCUGGUGCAGCCUAAUUCCCCUCUCCUGGACCAGGAGGCAGAACUGGCUUUGUGACUCACCUCUGUCUAGGAGAAUGUGGCAAAUGUGACAAUGUGUGACUUCUGAUGCUAAGUCAUAAAAGGUUUUUUUUUUAAGUAAUCUCUACACCCAACAUGGUGGGGCUCCAACUUACAACCCCAAGAUCAAGACUCACGUGCUCUACGGACUGAGCCAGCCAGGCGCUCCUAGAAAUGUAAUUCUUAGCCCUGUCGCUCAUUAAAAGGUACAUACUCAGCUCCUUUCUGGGAGUGUCUUUGCUUCCUCACCGGUAACAUAGAGUAACAUCUACUCAGGAAGGCUGUUUGUCGUCUGCUUUGCAGACAAAGUGAGCUGCUCUUUUUCUGGGUUUCCAUAACAUUCUCAAGUGGCUCUAUCAUCAUCCUUAUCUGGUGUUAUUUUUUAUUAUUCGAGUAUAGUUUAUAUGCCACACAACUUACCCAUUUAAAGUAUACAGUUCAAUGGUUUUAGUUAUAUUCACAGAGCUGUGCAACCAUUAUCAUGAUGAAUUUUUAAUUCUUUUUUCUAAUGUGUAUUUAUUUAUUUUGAGAGAGAGAGAGAGAGAGCUCGAGUGUGCACAGCAGGGGAGGGGCAGAGAGAAGGAGACAGAGAAUCCCAAGCAGGCAGCGCUGGCAACACAGGGUCUGCCACAGGGCUUGAUCUCAUGACCGCAAGAUCAUGACCCGAGCCGAAAUCGACAAUCAGACGCUUCACCGACUGAGCCACCCAGGCGCCCCCGUUAUUUUUCUAAUUCUUAAAGAUUAAGAGUUCGUGCAGCUGAAAAGCAUAAAGGUAGCAAAAAAAUCAGGCACAGUGUGGUCCAGUUGCUCAGGUUACAUCACCAGGAUGCGGUUUGGUCUCCUGUGUCUGAGCCCUGCUUUCCUUCUGUCACCUUUUUGCUCAGGCAGGCUGUCCCCAAACCACCGCGAGAUGGCCACCAGCAGCCUCAGGCUUCCAGCCGAGUUUUGCAUCAACCACAUGGGAAGAACAAUGAACCAAAUGAAAAAUUACCUUUUCUCAGAGGUCCAGGAGGAACACCUGGGUGGCUCAGUCGGUUAAGCGUCCGACUUCGGCUCGGGUCAUGAUCUCGCGGUUCGUGGGUUCGAGCCCCGCGUCGGGCUCUGGGCUGACAGCCCGGAGCCUGCUUCGGAUUUUGUGUCUCCCUCUCUCCCUCUGCCCCUCCCCACUCAUGUUCUGUCUCUCUCUCAAAAAUAAACAUUAAAAAAAAAAGGAAAAAGCAAAGAGGUCCAGGAAAAGUGUGAUGGAAUGUCACUGGACUGUCUGAAGUCAGUCCCUGCCCAUUCCUGAGGCAACCACUAGGCCCACGGGUUGGCUAAUGCGGGCUGGUCAGGCCUGGGUUUCUCCUUCCCAGGAACCAGGUCGGGGCGGGGGGGGGGGGGUGCCCCUGAAGAAGACCAGAAAAAUGGGGUGGAUCCUAGGAGGAGAAACAAUACAUGUGCCCCCUCCAGUCACUGGCCUGUGAGCUCCUCGAAGGCAGGGACUUCUGCCCUAAGUUAUCUUUGCACUCUCAGAGCCCCUGCUGGGUGACAAAGCUAGCCAAUGGCUGCGAGCUUCCCGACUGGAUAAAUCCCCUUUCCCUUUUCCCUCUUCUGUCCCACUCUCUCCUGGAGUCUGGUUCAUCUUCCAGAAACAAGAAGUUCUGUGAAGAGAUAAAGAUUCCUACAGAGUGAUCUGGGCUUUCAGAGGAAAGUACUGUUUUUACCCCAGGCACAACAAGAAGGCAGAAAUACCUCUGAAGUUCCUCAGUUAAUGAAUGGAUAAGCAAAAGGUGGUCUAUCCACACAAUGGAAUAUGAUUCAGCCAUGAAAAGGAAUAAUGCAGUGGCCCACACUAUAAAGCAGAUGAACUUGAAGACAUUAUGCUCAGUGAAAGAAGCCGGUCACAAAAGACCAGGUAUUAUACGAUUCCAGUUACGUGAAAUAUUCACAAUAGGUAAAUCCAUAGAGACAGAGAGUAGAUUAGUGGUUACCUCGGGCUGUGAUGCGGAGUAGGGAGGAAACGGGGAGUCACUGCUGAUAUGGUUUCUGUUUAAAACAAUGAAAAUGUUCUGGAAUGAGAUGGGGUGAUGGUUGCAUGUAAAUACACUGAAGAUCACUGAAUUGUACCUUUAAAUGUGUGGAUUUGAAGACAUGUGAACUAUAUUUCAAUAAAGUUGUUUAAAACAAA